CUUGAACCUACACUGUAAAUUUUUGCCUCGGUUUCCAGCAAAAAAAAUUGCUGAAAACGUUCAGCAAUCCAAAUUUUUGCUGGAAACCAGCAAUCGAUUUUCUUAUUGCUGGAUUUUUCAGCAUUCGGUUGUGUUCUUGUCAUUUUUGCUGGAAAAUCAGCAAUCGGUUUUCAAAUUGCUGGACUUUCCAGCAAUCGGUCUAGUUUGCUGGAAAAUCAGCAAUCGAGUUGUCAAAUUGGAGUCUGUUUGUUUUCGUACGCUGAAGCAAGGUAAGACUCUUUUUCACGAAUUUUGUUUAUGUUAAUACUAUUUUUUCAUUUUCCUCUAUAUUCUAGCAACCAGACAUCAAGUCAAGGUAAAACGAAGGUUUUUCAGCCGCUAUGUUCACAGACUCCAGCCGCCGCGCCAGUUGGGAGAAAAUUAAAAAGCUGUCGCGAUUAAGUGCGGUUCCGGAUGUUCGUUGCUGGUGGUUCUUGUUGGUGGGCAACUUCACGAAGAAACGGUAGCUAAAUCGACACCGGAUGCUUACAGGUUGAAAGUGCAACACGAAACCCGCAACAGUCCGGCAAUGAAGAAGGACCACAACUGGAAUUUCAACGAGCUGCAUCCGGAAAACACCCCGGUGCUUUCUUUGAUGAAGAUGGCAUGGCAUUUUGCUCGCCAGUAGGUGCGUUCCCAGGAUCGAACCUUCCGUUUAACGAAAAGUGUGAAAAAAAUUUAAAAAAUGUGAAAAUUAAAUUAUAAGUGAAUGUAAUUUGUGUAUUCUAUUCAAUAAUCAAAU